GUGUCAGCAGCCGCGGUAAUACGAAGGGGGCUAGCGUUGUUCGGAAUUACUGGGCGUAAAGGGCGCGUAGGCGGUACUUCAAGUCAGGCGUGAAAGCCCCGGGCUCAACCUGGGAACCGCGCUUGAGACUGGAGAACUAGAGUUCGGGAGAGGAUGGUGGAAUUCCCAGUGUAGAGGUGAAAUUCGUAGAUAUUGGGAAGAACACCGAUGGCGAAGGCAGCCAUCUGGACCGACACUGACGCUGAGGCGCGAAAGCGUGGGGAGCAAACAGGAUUAGAUACCCUGGUAGUCCACGCCGUAAACGAUGAGUGCUAGACGUUGGGGCCCUUAGGGCUUCGGUGUCGCAGCUAACGCAUUAAGCACUCCGCCUGGGGAGUACGGCCGCAAGGUUAAA
rnacentral:rRNA from 1 species